CGGGGCACGGCGGCACUUCCGGUGCAGGGAGAGACGGAGCGAGGAACUGCGGGACCAUGGCGCGGAACGCGGAGAAGGCCAUGACGGCCUUGGCGAGGUUUCGGCAAGCCCAGCUCGAGGAAGGAAAAGUGAAGGAGCGCAGACCUUUCCUGGCGUCCGAGUGCAAUGAGCUGCCCAAGGCUGAGAAGUGGAGGCGACAGAUCAUUGGGGAGAUUUCCAAGAAAGUGGCACAGAUUCAGAAUGCUGGUUUGGGUGAAUUCAGAAUUCGGGACCUGAAUGAUGAAAUAAACAAACUUCUGAGGGAGAAAGGACACUGGGAAUACAGAAUAAAGGAGCUGGGAGGCCCUGACUAUGCUCGGAUUGGACCGAAAAUGUUGGAUCAUGAAGGGAAGGAAGUUCCAGGGAACAGGGGCUACAAAUAUUUUGGAGCUGCAAAGGAUUUACCAGGAGUUCGAGAGCUCUUUGAAAAGGAGCCCCUCCCACCCCCACGGAAAACUCGGGCUGAGCUCAUGAAGGACAUCGAUGCUGAGUACUACGGCUACAGGGACGAGGACGACGGCAUCCUGGAGCCUCUGGAGCAGGAGCACGAGAAGAAAGUUAUAGCAGAAGCAGUGGAAAAAUGGAAAAUGGAGAGGGAAGCGCGACUUGCAAGAGGUGAGGAGGAGGAGGAAGAAAAUAUCUAUGCUGUCAAUGAAGAUGAGUCUGAUGAGGAAGGUGCCAAGGAAAGAGAAGGAGAAGAAGGCCAACAGAAAUUCAUUGCACAUGUUCCUGUGCCAACUCAGCAGGAGAUUGAGGAAGCCCUUGUGCGGAGGAAGAAGAUGGAGCUGCUCCAGAAAUACGCCAGUGAGACCCUCCUGGCACAGAGUGAGGAGGCAAAGACACUGCUGGGACUGUAACACUGCACCAGCACGGCCUGCUUGGCUGUAACCCACCCAAAACCAGCAGGUUCCUUGUUCUGGUAGCAAUGGCUUUUAGCUCUGGAAGUCCUUUGGAUGUUCAGAGUAAACUGAUGGAAUUACAGUGUGUUCUGCAAAGGAAACCCGUCAUUUUGGUUUAUCCAGUAGAAUGAGUGGCACUCCAGUGCUGACAAAGAUCUUGUCUCUGCAUCUACAACUGUCAUCAGUCCCUUCAGUUUGUAAAAGGGUCUGUGCAGUGGUGCCUCUUACAGAUAGAACCACACACCCACCGGCCUCUGAAAUCCCGGGGGAAAGCUGAUGGUGUUCCUGCCACCCUCCCUGCUCUAUCCUGACUCUCAGAGGAUUGUGGGGAUUCCCUAAUCCUAUCCAGAAAAUGGGAUCAUAAACACCCAUCCCUGCAGGGAUUUGAAGCUCUGCAUCCCCUACUGCUCUUGGCUCGUGUGUCCUGUGACAAGAGGCAAGUUACAGCAGGGCCUGUUUAGAGUCUUCUGGGUGACUGUUGUACAGAUCUGAGUGAAUGACACUUUAAACUGGACAUCUGCAGCCAUGGAGUAUUUCUGUCUAAGGAACAGAGUAUUUAACAGUCAAGUAACCAUGUCUGGGACUGUUUAACCUAUUUCUAAUGCUCUUAGUAUUAAUCUGUUACUAUCUCUUGUGAAUAAUCCACUCCAGAACAAUCAAAGCUCUAAAUUAUAGAGAAAAGCUUUGUCUUACUUGAAGUAAGUGAUCAAACAAAAAAGCCUUGAACAUGUGGGAAGUGUAGCCACCAAAUUAAAAACUUAGAAUAAAUCAAAAGCUGAAUUAUUAGUAGGGGCAAACCCUGAAUCUCACAAACACAUUCUUCUCUCUGGCUGUUGGCAAUGCAGCUCUGCUUUGUAAGAAAGCAGCAAACGAGUGUGUUUGUGACUCACAGGAAUUUGUGUGCUCUGGGUUCCAAGCACCUCCAAAGGGCUGCCUUUUGAGUGUUUUCUGGGUUUGGGUUUCAAGAAGUGAUGUGCUUUUGACAUGUUCUCUGUAUUGCUGUAAAAGGGAAAUGCUGUUUCCCAGAGUUCCUUCCCCAAAACCCUGGCCAUCGACAAUGGAAAAACAGGCUUCUUUCCUGCUGGAUGUGCUCAUGGUUCUGGAUCAGAGUGGUGUCCUUUGCCUGUGGAAAAUCUCAGUCUGUGAAGGGUAAAGGCUUUGAGGGCUGGAGAUGACAAAAACAGAUUUAAGGGAGAAAAAAAUCCAGCUAGUUUGUACAGCCUGAUACAGUCUGGUAUGGUUUGUUAAUACCAGUGGUGGAUCCCUUCUGUCACUUUGUGAAUCUCUAAGAUGGACGAUGGAAAACAGAAGGGUAAAGACAAAUCAGGGACAGCGUGAUGAUGAAAGCGGGCACAAAAAAGGAAUAAAUUGAAAGAAUGAGAGAAAAUGAACAGGAUUGUAAUUGCAUUCCUGUUCAAGGAGUAGCUUUCAGCCCUGAGCAUUAUCCAUCACAAUGUAAAAGGAGAGUUUUUAGGGCAGGGCUGAUCUCUGCCACCCACCACAGAACUGGAAUAAAUGCACAAAAAUGCAAUAUGGAACUGUUGAAGGCAAACUGAACUCUACUGCCUGGCCCUCUCUCCUGAAUGCUCUCUCUGUAGCUCAGUGCAAAGGGUUUUUAGGCUGAAUGCUCUGUUUGGCUGUGCCCAAUUCAACAAAUGGCAGAGGAAUUCCUUGCCCCAGUGGCCUGUGGCCAAAAGGC